rnacentral:rRNA from 1 species
CAGUAGCCGCGGUAAUACGGAGGGUGCAAGCGUUAAUCGGAAUUACUGGGCGUAAAGCGCACGCAGGCGGUUUGUUAAGUCAGAUGUGAAAUCCCCGAGCUUAACUUGGGAACUGCAUUUGAAACUGGCAAGCUAGAGUCUUGUAGAGGGGGGUAGAAUUCCAGGUGUAGCGGUGAAAUGCGUAGAGAUCUGGAGGAAUACCGGUGGCGAAGGCGGCCCCCUGGACAAAGACUGACGCUCAGGUGCGAAAGCGUGGGGAGCAAACAGGAUUAGAUACCCCCGUAGUCCCUGUCACUUAUAC